UACGGAGGGUGCAAGCGUUAUCCGGAUUCACUGGGUUUAAAGGGUGCGUAGGUGGGUUGGUAAGUCCGUGGUGAAAUCCCCAAGCUUAACUUGGGAACUGCCGUGGAUACUAUCAAUCUUGAAUAUCGUUGAGGUAAGCGGAAUAUGUCAUGUAGCGGUGAAAUGCUUAGAUAUGACAUAGAACACCGAUAGCGGGAGGCAGCUUACUAAGCGAUCAUUGACACUGAGGCACGAAAGCGUGGGGAGCAAACAGG
rnacentral:rRNA from 1 species